AUACGGAGGGGGCUAGCGUUGUUCGGAAUUACUGGGCGUCAAGCGCGCGUAGGCGGAUUGAUCAGUCAGGGGUGAAAUCCCGAGGCUUAACCUCGGAACUGCCUUUGAUACUGUCAAUCUUGAGUUCGAGAGAGGUGAGUGGAAUUCCUAGUGUAGAGGUGAAAUUCGUAGAUAUUAGGAAGAACACCAGUGGCGAAGGCGGCUCACUGGCUCGAUUCUGACGCUGAGGUGCGAAAGCGUGGGGAGCAAACAGGAUUAGAAACCCUAGUAGUCC
rnacentral:rRNA from 1 species